UUCCCUAGCGCUAGCUGCCGGCAAUGCAGUCUCUCACAAAAAGCAUUUAUCACUGGGCAGGCACAGUAAUGGCCACUCAGUGGAGGGGAAAUUGAGCUGACCCGAAGGCCAAAGCUGUUAGGGAGACUGGUGGGAAGGGUAAGAGGGUCACAACACCCUUUUCCCACCCACUUAGUGGGCACAAACAACAAUAUUUAACCAACAAAAGAAGAGACCAAGUCAAUCUCAGUUUUAGUGAUUCCC
rnacentral:lncRNA from 1 species